CACAGCCAGUCAGGGGAGUGUCUCAGCUCUCCCCUCUCCUGCCAAGCUCCCCCACAACCAGUCAGGGGAGUGCCUCAGCUCCCCACUCUCCUGCCAAGCUCCCCCACAGCCUGUCAGGGGAGUGUCUCAACUCCCCACUCUCCUGCCAAGCUCCCCCACAGCCUGUCAGGGGAGUGUCUCAGCUCCCCACUCUCCUGCCAAGCUCCCCCACAGCCUGUCAGGGGAGUGUCUCAGCUCCCCACUCUCCUGCCAAGCUCCCCCACAG